UACAGAGGUCUCAAGCGUUGUUCGGAUUCAUUGGGCGUAAAGGGUGCGUAGGCGGCGCGGUAAGUCGGGUGUGAAAUUUCGGAGCUUAACUCCGAAACUGCAUUCGAUACUGCCGUGCUUGAGGACUGGAGAGGAGACUGGAAUUUACGGUGUAGCAGUGAAAUGCGUAGAGAUCGUAAGGAAGACCAGUGGCGAAGGCGGGUCUCUGGACAGUUCCUGACGCUGAGGCACGAAGGCCAGGGGGAGCAAACGGG
rnacentral:rRNA from 1 species